AGGGCGCGCUGCUGGAGUCGCCUUUCCCAGAAAUCGGGCAGAGAUUUAGGCCUUACAGUUACUUAAACUUGUAGCCCUCCCAGUAGCUGUGGAGUCUAGUAAACGUGGGUUCUGCCGGGUUCACCAGUCAUCCCAGGCUGUUGAGGGGCCGGUAGGGGGCCCGUGGGCCAGAGGAGACUCCAGGCUUCUCUCCCACUCGUCUCUGGCCUGCACCCCCUCUCGGGUAGAGGCUGCACCUCCUGCUUGGGUUCAGCCAUCUCCAAAUAUUGCAUCAACAUCCCGUGCCUCUGCCUGCGGGGCUGGGCCAGCACCAGAGACUCAGGCGAAGCGCCAACCGCCCAGGGGCAGCAGCUGGCGAGUUGAGGCAGAGCUGCCAGAACCUCACCACCGCUAAGAUUGCUACCUGGAGAUUCCUGCUUGCCCCCAACCCCAGAUCAUUGCUGCCACUCUGAAUCUAACAACCCUGCUGACAAAAAUUUCAUAGCUGUCCUUUGAAAAACUUUACAAGGCAACCUCCCUUUAAUUGACUCCUUAUGACCCACUCCCCCCGCCAGUGUGAUCCUCGAGCCCACUGUGACCCCCGCUUUGAAGAGCCUGUUGGUCCAGUCCUUCCCGCUUUCUGCAGAGCUGUUCUCCUCCUUCUAAAGAAGUCACCUGGGCCCUGGGCCCCGUCUUCCUGGCUCCACAGAGUCCCUGUGGCUGUAGGCACUGCUUCUCUCUCCUGCACUCAACCCCUCUCCCACUCCACUGCCUCUGGGUGUGCAAAAACACUGAUGUGUCCCAUAUUUUCAAAAUCUCUCCCCUGUAGUUCCCACCUGACUUCCAAUAGGUGGCCAAAGUACAGACAUUAAUGUAUAUUAAGGCACACAAUUA